AGUGAUCAACCAUUGGAGCAAGCUAUGGAGCUUGAUUAGCUCCAUUGGAUAGGUUUUGUUUGAGAAGUGGAGUAUUGUAAUUGACUGACUGUGGAACCUGUUGGUGGGAACAAAGGUUGGCUGAAGCUUGAGGAUGCUGCAGGAGCCACCGGUGGCAAGUGGCCAGACUUGGACUAGUAUUGAUGCAUGAGGAUCGAGUAUUUUGAUACAUGUUGUUUUGUAGCUCACAUGUAUAAGAUUGUAACUCAUAGACAACUGAUAGAU